CUGAGAACUACUUUCCGGUGUGCUCAGCUCCACUGGUUAAUGUUUCCUGGCAGAGGAUGCUUGUUUACUAUCCAUGUGGUAACCUCUGGACAUCCAGUAAUCCAUUCGUUACCCGCACUGAUCAAGUGCAAGCCUAGUGCAGUGAUA
rnacentral:lncRNA from 1 species